AUCUAGUUUCAACCGUUUAGUAAUGGUAACUAAGAAUCAAGGAUAACUUGAUCACCAUGAUAACGAGUCUAUCUGGAGGA
rfam:Mycoplasma gallisepticum str. R(low), complete genome.